rnacentral:rRNA from 1 species
GUGCCAGCAGCCGCGGUAAUACAGAGGGUGCAAGCGUUAAUCGGAAUUACUGGGCGUAAAGCGCGCGUAGGUGGUUCGUUAAGUCGGAUGUGAAAUCCCCGGGCUCAACCUGGGAACUGCAUUCAAAACUGUCGAGCUAGAGUAUGGUAGAGGGUGGUGGAAUUUCCUGUGUAGCGGUGAAAUGCGUAGAUAUAGGAAGGAACACCAGUGGCGAAGGCGACCACCUGGACUAAUACUGACACUGAGGUGCGAAAGCGUGGGGAGCAAACAGGAUUAGAUACCCCAGUAGUCC